CCUAUGUUAUAAUGGAGAAUUCAGAAAUAUAAAUAGGCAAUUGUAUAACAGUGUGACAAAAGUUGUGAUAGGGAAUUGUAAUUAUACCUAUUUAGGUAUAAUUCCCCAUUCCCUCUCAUAUGGGAGUACCAAAGAGGGCAUGACUCAUCCUGAAUUUGGAAUUCAGGGAAGUCUUCCUAUAGGAGGUAACAGAUAGCUAAAAUAUGAAGGAAGACUAGGAGGAAAAUGGUGCUCGAAUAAUGAACAUGUGAAAAGUUUUGAGAGAAUGCACAGAGCAGAAGUAGUGAGUUUGACUCAGUAUGACUGAAUGGCAGUAAUAUUGGUAAUUGUAUUGAUCAUGGAGAAAGGAGAGGCUAGAGAGGCCGACAAGAUCCACACAUAUUGUAAGACAUGUUAGGGUGACUGAACGUUAUCCUAAUGCAAGAGAUGGGUUUAAAGGGGAAAAAAUAGCAUAAUUAGAUUUAUUUUUGGAAGCUUAGCUGAAUCAUUAAGCAAUAUGUAGCAAGAAACUGAGUUUUCUGUAUCUCUAAUUAUAGGGAACAAUACAUGUAUGGAUUUAUGUUUAGAUUCAAUAUAAAUGGACUUCUGUUUAGCAAUAGCACUCUAGGUUCUUUGAUAGACCUGGAUAAGAACAACUGAAAAUCUUCCACAUUGCUAUAUCACUGAUGUUCUGGCAAGGACCUAGGAAAUUAUUAGAGGCAAAACCUAAGCGUAAGCGAGAAUUCAGACAGAUAACUGGAGCAUCUAGGCCAGCUUCCUCUCUGAAAAGGUAGGCUGUAUUAACUGGUCGGAAGAAGAAAAAAAAUUCUUACGUGUGGACAAAAUGAGAGGAAUGAAGUAGCAUUAGCUAUCCUAAUUAAACUACCAUAAAAGUGUAUAAAUUAAAGUAUGAAAUAAUAAGGGUAUACUUUGUGACAUGGAAGUAUAGUCAGAAAGACUCUGGGAAAAGUGCUAUCAGCCCCACUAAACAUAAAACCAGAAAAUGGUUUCAGUCACCCUUGACAGAAUAAGAAGUAUAUUGGGCAAAGCCAGCUGCAUAGAAAACUUAAAAGCAGGAACUGAUGAAUAGAGAGGACAAUCAAUGGCAAACUAUUGUAUUGAGCAGAUGGUUCACUAGUUUCUAAUAAGUAGAGUGAGAAUAAUAAAAAUAUUCAGUAUUAACA
rnacentral:lncRNA from 1 species